rnacentral:rRNA from 1 species
GACGAACGCUGGCGGCGCGCCUAACACAUGCAAGUCGAACGGAAUCAAGAGGAGCUUGCUUUUCUUGAUUUAGUGGCGAACGGGUGAGUAACGCGUGAGUAACCUGCCCUGGAGUGGGGGACAACAGUUGGAAACGACUGCUAAUACCGCAUAAGCCCACGGUACCGCAUGGUACUGAGGGAAAAGGAUUUAUUCGCUCUAGGAUGGACUCGCGUCCAAUUAGCUAGUUGGUGAGGUAACGGCCCACCAAGGCGACGAUUGGUAGCCGGACUGAGAGGUUGAACGGCCACAUUGGGACUGAGACACGGCCCAGACUCCUACGGGAGGCAGCAGUGGGGGAUAUUGCACAAUGGGGGAAACCCUGAUGCAGCGACGCCGCGUGGAGGAAGAAGGUUUUCGGAUUGUAAACUCCUGUCGUUAGGGACGAUAAUGACGGUACCUAACAAGAAAGCACCGGCUAACUACGUGCCAGCAGCCGCAGUAA